UGAUUCUGGCUCAGGAUGAACGCCGGGGGUGCCUAAUACAUGCAAGUCGUACGCACUGGCCCAACUGAUUGAUGGUGCUUGCACCUGAUUGACGAUGGAUCACCAGUGAGUGGCGGACGGGUGAGUAACACGUAGGUAACCUGCCCCGGAGCGGGGGAUAACAUUUGGAAACAGAUGCUAAUACCGCAUAACAACAAAAGCCACAUGGCUUUUGUUUGAAAGAUGGCUUUGGCUAUCACUCUGGGAUGGACCUGCGGUGCAUUAGCUAGUUGGUAAGGUAACGGCUUACCAAGGCGAUGAUGCAUAGCCGAGUUGAGAGACUGAUUUUGCCACAAUGGAACUGAGACACGGUCCAUACUCCUACGGGAGGCAGCAGUAUGGAAUCUUCCACAAUGGGCGCAAGCCUGAUGGAGCAACACCGCGUGAGUGAAGAAGGGUUUCGGCUCGUAAAGCUCUGUUGUUGGAGAAGAACGUGCGUGAGAGUAACUGUUCACGCAGUGACGGUAUCCAACCAGAAAGUCACGGCUAACUACGUGCCAGCAGCCGCGGUAAUACGUAGGUGGCAAGCGUUAUCCGGAUUUAUUGGGCGUAAAGCGAGCGCAGGCGGUUGCUUAGGUCUGAUGUGAAAGCCUUCGGCUUAACCGAAGAAGUGCAUCGGAAACCGGGCGACUUGAGUGCAGAAGAGGACAGUGGAACUCCAUGUGUAGCGGUGGAAUGCGUAGAUAUAUGGAAGAACACCAGUGGCGAAGGCGGCUGUCUGGUCUGCAACUGACGCUGAGGCUCGAAAGCAUGGGUAGCGAACAGGAUUAGAUACCCUGGUAGUCCAUGCCGUAAACGAUGAGUGCUAGGUGUUGGAGGGUUUCCGCCCUUCAGUGCCGGAGCUAACGCAUUAAGCACUCCGCCUGGGGAGUACGACCGCAAGGUUGAAACUCAAAGGAAUUGACGGGGGCCCGCACAAGCGGUGGAGCAUGUGGUUUAAUUCGAAGCUACGCGAAGAACCUUACCAGGUCUUGACAUCUUGCGCUAACCUUAGAGAUAAGGCGUUCCCUUCGGGGACGCAAUGACAGGUGGUGCAUGGUCGUCGUCAGCUCGUGUCGUGAGAUGUUGGGUUAAGUCCCGCAACGAGCGCAACCCUUGUUACUAGUUGCCAGCAUUAAGUUGGGCACUCUAGUGAGACUGCCGGUGACAAACCGGAGGAAGGUGGGGACGACGUCAGAUCAUCAUGCCCCUUAUGACCUGGGCUACACACGUGCUACAAUGGACGGUACAACGAGUCGCAAACUCGCGAGAGUAAGCUAAUCUCUUAAAGCCGUUCUCAGUUCGGACUGUAGGAUGCAACUCGCCUACACGAAGUCGGAAUCGCUAGUAAUCGCGGAUCAGCAUGCCGCGGUGAAUACGUUCCCGGGCCUUGUACACACCGCCCGUCACACCAUGGGAGUUUGUAACGCCCAAAGUCGGUGGCCUAACCUUUAUGGAGGGAGCCGCCUAAGGCGGGACAGAUGACUGGGGAUGAUCGUAACAAGGUACCC
rnacentral:rRNA from 1 species